GGAGUUUGGACCGUCUCUCAGUUCCAAUGUGGCCGAUCACCCUCUCAGGUCGGCUACCGAUCGUCGACUUGGUGGGCCGUUACCUCACCAACUAUCUAAUCGGACGCGAGCCCACCCCAACCGGAUUGCUCCUUUUACCUCUGAGCCAUGUGACUCCGUGGUCUUAUGCGGUAUUAGCACCUGUUUCCAAGUGUUAUCCCCCUGUCUGGGACAGGUUGCUCACGCGUUACUCACCCGUCCGCCACUCGAAUGUCAGCGAAUCCUGCCGAAGCUCUCAUCUCCAACAUCCUCGUUCGACUUGCAUGUGUUAAGCACGCCGCCAGCGUUCGUCCUCGAGCCAUGAUCAAACUACU
rnacentral:rRNA from 1 species